GUGAAUUGGAAUCUUAAAAAUUAUCCUAGCAAAUCCACACAACAAACAAUCUAAUGCCUUAAUAAAUUUGAAAGCAAUAAAUUCAAUCAAAGCACAAUAAUUAAAGAGCAAGGGAAGAGAGAGCAAACUCAAGGAUUUUUACGUGGUUCGGCAAUCCCCGCCUACGUCCACGCCUCCAAGCACACCGGGCUUGAGGAUUUCACUAUCCAAGCCUUUCCAAGGCUUCAACGAUUACAAUUGACUUCGAGGUGUCAAUAAACCUUUACAACAAAGAGAUUAUCUCCCAAUCUCUUCACUCAAGUGUCUCACACACUCAAACUCUUACAAAUGAAAUGAAGAAAUGAAAGUUACAAUCAAACUCACUCAAUGAGUAGAUAUUCAAAG
rnacentral:lncRNA from 1 species